CCCGGACCGCACCUGCGCGCCCGCCCGCGGGGCACGCCGGGAAGUGGAGUCCCCGCCCCCGGCCCGCCGAGCGCGCAGGCGCGACCGCGGGGAGGGAGGGGGACCGAGCGCGCAGGCGCCUUGGAGCUUUCGACCCCCGGGAGGCCGCCGCCGCCCCUCUCUCGGGCUAGCACCCCGGACACCUGUGCGCGGGGAGGCGGGCAGGGUUGGGCUGCGUCGUCCCGGCACGGGCCGCUGAGCUUUUGGGGUCUUUUUUAUGACGUCCCAGCACGGGGUGGGGCCGGGGGCGGGCCGGGGCGGGGUCCUUUGGCCCGGGAAGGGAGGACGGAGGCGGAUUCCCUUCUCCGGCGGUUCUGAGCGAGCGGAAAGGGCGGCCCGGCCGGCAGUGGUUGCCCAUGGCUGCAUGAUAAAUGACCCUAAAGCUUCAUGGCAAACACGGUGAUCUGUCUCGCUCGUGAAUCUGCGCAGUCGGUGCUGCCAGUCGCCUGCUGUCCCAACUCGCGGCUGCUGAGUGAACCGGUGAGCCCGGGGCGGGGGGCAUGGGACCUGGCACCUUUUGUGACCUAGCCGUGGAGAUCCUGUAGUCUUACAAAAGCCACCCAAAUUCAGUGAAAGGGAAUGCGGA